rnacentral:rRNA from 1 species
UACGGAGGGUGCAAGCGUUAAUCGGAAUUACUGGGCGUAAAGCGUGCGUAGGCGGUUCGUUAAGUCUGUUGUGAAAGCCCCGGGCUCAACCUGGGAAGUGGCAAUGGAUACUGGCGAGCUAGAGUGUGUCAGAGGAUGGUGGAAUUCCCGGUGUAGCGGUGAAAUGCGUAGAGAUCGGGAGGAACAUCAGUGGCGAAGGCGGCCAUCUGGGACAACACUGACGCUGAGGCACGGAAGCGUGGGGAGCAAACAGG